UUUUAAUGCAAACAACGUGCACAGCACAUUAGUAAAUAUACAGAAUUCCUGUCUUUUGACAUAAAGCUUGUCGUUACAACCCUUUCCGGCAGCUUGGUAAGUAAAACACUAUAUAAAAGCGCUGACAGUCACGUGAUGAUACCGGCGGGUCUUCCUCUCUUACUAGUCAGAGGAUAAGCUACCCCAGCCCAGUGGUUUCAAGUCAUCUUCACUUAUUAAGCCGCACCACCUUUAGGGCAGCAGCCGCCGCACCAACCAGGCUAAACCACAGCUCCCGCCGGCGGAAGCAUCCCUUCCACACCCGCUGACGGGCAGGGCCGAUGGAUAGCUGUGGACGCUGCACGCUCUUUACUCCCGGCGCGCACUCGCGUCACUGCAGCCCCUGCGACUGUCACGGUCCCCAGGAACGAACGAGGGAACUUUACGGCAUCUGGGGGCCCCCGGGUCCCAUCCCGCCCCGCCGCGCGUAGCUUCUUACCACGCAGGAAUCCUCCAGAGCAGCGGAGUUAGCAUGCCAGAGAAGCCCGUCUCCCCCAGGGGCGGUGGCGGCAUUCGAGACCGGAAGCACGUCGCCCCUGAGAGCGCGUCACUUCCGGCGGGCCGAGCCGGGUCUGGCAGGAGGCCCCGUAGAGGCGCUGGGUGUCCGAUGACGGGUAACUGUGGCUAAGGGAGUGUGGAGGCCCUGGAGUUUAAAGGGCGCUGCGCUGGACGGCGGGGCCUCAAAGAUGGGGAGCGUUCAUCCGUGCUGUCUGGAACUCCAGCUCGGUGGGCGAGAUGGACUCGAGGGUCAGUGGGGUGGGAGACCCCGGAAAGUCUUCCUUGAGAAAGUGACCUUUGAUCUGGACUUGGAAGAAGGAAAAUGUGAUGACAUUGGCAGCGAGAGGAGUUAAGCGUUUACAGGCAGAAAAACCCCAGUCUCCUAGACAACUCAUUAUCUCAACAACCCCUCCUAAACGCCUACCACCACCAGUUACACGUAGUGGAAAAAAUGGCAUCACAUUCGCUCAGUUCACCAGGACCGCUACUUCCGUCCGUAUCAUCCUGCGCCAUCCAUUUUACCACUUAAAUAUCUGUUUGUUUACUGCUACCUCCCUUGUCCCAGGUUUCAUGCUGUCUCACUUGGAUUACUGGCAGCUGUUCUGGGCAUCAAUUCUUGCUCCACUCCCUCUAACCCAUUUUCCAUUCCUUAGCCAAGUGAACUUUUGAAAAUGUAAGUUAGAUUGUUGCUCUCCAGCUUGAAUCUUUCCAAAGUUUGCCAUUGUUCUUAGAAUGAAGUUCAAACUGCUUAACGUGGUGUUAAGUCCCUGCUUACUUCACUAGUCCCACCUUGCCCAGUCUGCCCCUCUUUGAGCUCCAUGCAUAGGAAGCUUCUCUCAGUUUCUCCAAUGCCACAUGUACCUUGCUAUCUCCAGCCCUUUACUUAUGCUCUUCUCUUUGUAUGGUGGUACUCCUUUUUUUCUAAUUAAUUUCUACUCACUCUUAAGGCUUCUGACAUUUUAUUCUCAAGUCAGCCUUCCAGUGUUCCUCCCCGCCAAACUGGAUCAAUACCCUACUGUACGCUCAUGGCAGUCUGUGCUUCCUUAUAGCACUUUUCAAAUUUGUAAUUACAUAAGGAAUUGUGUAAUAAGUUGUUUACUGUAUCCCCAUUGCCUGGUAUAUUUAUAUUGUAUAUGGUAUAUUUAUAUUGUAUGUGGUAUUGUAUGUGUAUAUUGUAAAUGGUAUAUCGUAUCCCCAUUGCCUGGUAUUGACUUGGUGAUCAGUACGUUUUGUGUUAACUAAACGAAGAAUAAAUACUGUGCAAUGUUUGUUAAA